UACAGAGGGGGCAAGCGUUGUUCGGAAUUACUGGGCGUAAAGGGCGCGUAGGCGGCCCGCUAAGUCGAACGUGAAAUCCCCGAGCUCAACUCGGGAACUGCGUCCGAUACUGGCGGGCUUGAAUCCGGGAGAGGGAUGCGGAAUUCCAGGUGUAGCGGUGAAAUGCGUAGAUAUCUGGAGGAACACCGGUGGCGAAGGCGGCAUCCUGGACCGGUAUUGACGCUGAUGAGCGAAAGCCAGGGGGGCAAACGGG
rnacentral:rRNA from 1 species